GCAACACCCACCCGCGAGUCUAUAAAUAAUAUAAACACGCCGUCGACUCACAUAACCUUCAGACGGAGAACCUGAAAGGAUCGCAGCCUCACUUUCUAAACAAAGCAAUGGCGCCAGGCGAUGUUAUGAACCCCCACUACGGGUGGGGGUUGAAGAAAAAUCCCCACCUGCUGAAAGAAUACACUGAGAAAUAUGUAGGAAAGUCACUGCACCACCCCUCUGCAUUGCUGUCCACUGCCAAGCAUGGCUCAGCUGAGCAGGUGGUGAGGAAGGUGCUCCUAACCAAGGCAAUGUGUGAAAUCUUCGUUAUCUUGGCUAAUGGUCAAAGGUGUCAGAUGCUCCUAAGCGCCAUGCAGCUGCAAGUAAUGAUUGUGAGCAUUUUCAAAGAGGAAGUGCUGAAAAUGCUCAUCAAAAAAGGAUACAAUAAGGAUAAUAUCAGGCUGGUGGCUGAUGACAAGCCACUGGAUGAUGACUCUGCACCAGUGAAAAAAUACGGGAUCAAAGCCGGCUCAACUGUACAGAUGACAGACAACCUGGAAAGAUCACAUGUUCCCCGCCUAAACAAGGAAAAUUGUAAACUCGGCAUUAUCUUGCCUGAUGGUCGGAGGCACGUGAUGCCUCUGAGCGCUAAACAGCUGCAAGAAAUGACUGUGAGCCUUCUCGAAGAGGAAGUGCUAAAAAUGCUCAUGAUGAAAACUGUUGUAGGAUACACUAAGGAUGUUUUGAAGCUGCACAUUGAUGGCAUGCCACUGGACAACGGCUUUGUACUAAAAAUCAAAGCCGGCAAAAAAGUGCAGGCGGUGAUUAUGGUUCACGGAGGAUGAAGGAGUCCAUCAUGAAUUCAUGUGACUACAUCAAAUUUACAGGAUAUACCGAACCAUAAAUACAUGUAAAGAACAAAACAAAAAAUUCUGAUUGAAGUAUUGCAUCUAUGGCUUUCCUUCUCCUUUGUACUUUCUUCACAUUUUACGCCUCCUAUCAUACCUAUAGUCAGCACUAAUUCAGUAUUACAUAUUAAUAAUGAUUAAUUGAGGUGCAAAAGUUUUGUUUUAUUUUAUUACCAAGUUUCUGGGGCUUCUGUUUUCGCAGUCAGAGGUGUGUGCCUGAGAUGACAAUAUUAGCUCAUAUUAUUAUUGUUACAGGAAGAAAUUAGAAUAAAUGUAACGAUACACAGACGAACCUCCACAAAGUAAAUACUGAAACAAACGAACACAUUGAUUGUCAAUUUCCUAUGUGAUACAUUAUCUUUUUACAAUGUACAUGAAUAAAUGCACAUCACCAAAUGUUAUUGGUUGGCUCACUGAUGUCUGUAUGUAAACAUUGUGAUUCACAAAUGAUCCUAGAUUAUAUUUUAAAACGUAAUUGUUCAUUUUCUGUGACAUGUUUUGUUCAGUUAACAAUCACAACAAUUAAGUAAAUCUUUUUCAGAAUAUGUUUAAUGACUCAAAGCUAAAUGUGGAAGAAAUAAAUAGGAAUCUGGCUUCCUCGUGGUUUGCAUCAUUUAACUUUGAUAAAAUAGAAGACUGUCUCGGAGAAAUCAGACUGUCAAUGAAAAAAUUAAAUGCAAAACGUUCCAUUAUGUAACCUCAAAGAAACGUUCUCUGAGGAAAUUUCCACCUUAUCCUGAUUAUUAUAUUAGUUUAGCUGUUUCUGUAAAUACUUUAAAAUCAACAUUGGGACAACUAAACCACAUUUUCCAAUAACAAAUUUAAAGAAGAGAUCAUAUUUUACAUGAUGAUUUUUACUUAUCUGCAUGGGCUCUAAGUAACGUCAUGGCAGGAAGAAAGAAAAAUCUACAAGCUUAUAUCAAAUGAGGUGUUGCUAACUUGUUCAAAUCCUGGCGUUGGAGCUUGGACAAUUCAGGCCAAUAUUUUACUCAAAUACAUCAGGCCACAUUUAAGUAUUUUGUUAUGAUCUUUAAUUUGAGUUUCUAGUUAUAAUCUUAAUUAUUUUUACCCUUUGCUCUUUUCACCACACCAAACCAAUAAAGGACCAAACUGCCUGUCCA
ensembl:lncRNA